UACGGAGGGUGCGAGCGUUGUCCGGAAUUAUUGGGUUUAAAGGGUGCGUAGGCGGCCUUUUAAGUCAGAGGUGAAAUCCUACCGCUUAACGGUAGAACUGCCUUUGAUACUGGAAGGCUUGAGUAUAGUAGAGGUAGGCGGAAUUGAAGGUGUAGCGGUGAAAUGCAUAGAUAUCUUCAAGAACACCAAUUGCGUAGGCAGCUUACUGGACUAUAACUGACGCUGAGGCACGAAAGCAUGGGGAGCGAACAGG
rnacentral:rRNA from 1 species